UUCUUUUUUUUAGCUUUAUUUUUUUUUGUAAAAUUUUUUAUCUUUAUUUAUUUAUUUAUUUUUGUGGAAUCGAUUCGCUGCAACGCGCGGACACCUUCACUAGUAGUAUAAUUAAGUCUUACAAAAAAAAUGAUUGCAGCACAUCGUAUGUGAUAACUAGAGUGAGGCUGAUAUAUAUGCUUUUGGAAAUUCGGAACCCUCCGUACUUUCAAGUCGUUUUCGAUGUUGGAAUUUUCGAAUCGACGAUCGACUCCGUUAGACUUGAUUUAGAGUAUUUAAAGUAGCUAGAAAAAAAAUUUUGUGAUUUUUCGAUAUCAUUUUCCUAAUAAUCGAACGGGCUCAAAAUCAAUAAUUUUAAUGGCCGUGGUGAGUCGUUUGCAAAUUUAAUGGUGUAAAUAUUCAAAUCACGUAAAAUUUUGAUAGAAAUUUUUUUAUACUAUAUAAAACAAAAACAAUUUCUGAUCUAAAAUUUCAAAGCCAUAUCAUCACAUUUUGUAAAAUUUUUAUUUUCAGCCGUUGAUUUUGAGCCCCUUCAAUUACUAGGCAAAUGAUAUUGAAAAAUCGUAAAAUUUAUUUUCUAUAUAUUUCAAAUACUCUAAGAGCAUGUUUGGUUCACCUAUUUUAGAUUAUGGAAUCGGAAUGGAAUUCAUUGAUUCCGAUAGUUGCCGUUUGUUUUAUAGAAAUCGGAUUCCAAUUCCCAUUCCACUCCGGAAUGGAAAUGGCCAAAUCUAUUUAUAAUCCAAUUCGGUUUUAAAUUCCGGAUUGGCUCAUUCCAAAGUAAACUAUUUAAAAUUUUCUUUCAUCAACACCUACCUCCUCUCCCUUCAUCACUUUUCUCUCUCUUAAUCAAAAUCCUCUUUCAAAAAUUUUAAAUUUUCAUUUCGAUUUCCAUUCCAAUAAUGAACCAAACAUUUUUGGAUGAUUCGUCAUUUCAUUUCCUAUUCCAAAACAAUCCAAUUUUAUUUUUCAUUUCUAUUUCAAUCAUGAACAAAACAUGCCCUAAAUUCAAUCUAACGGAAUCAAUUGUAAAUUUAAAAAUCUCACCAUCAAAAC
rnacentral:lncRNA from 1 species